rnacentral:rRNA from 1 species
GAUGAACGCUAGCGGCAGGCCUAAUACAUGCAAGUCGAACGGUGUCUUCGGACAUAGUGGCGCACGGGUGCGUAACACGUAUGCAACCUACCUUACAUUGGGGGAUAGCCUUUCGAAAGGGAGAUUAAUACCGCAUAAGACAGUAGCUGGGCAUCCAGCAGCUGUUAAAGAUUUAUCGAUGUAAGCUGGGCAUGCGUCCAAUUAGCUAGUUGGUGAGGUAACGGCUCACCAAGGCAAUGAUUGGUAGGGGAACUGAGAGGUCAAUCCCCCACACUGGCACUGAGAUACGGGCCAGACUCCUACGGGAGGCAGCAGUAGGGAAUAUUGGGCAAUGGACGCAAGUCUGACCCAGCCAUGCCGCAUGCAGGAUGAAGGCGUUAUGCGUUGUAAACUGCUUUUAUACAGGAAGAAACGACUCUUGCGAGAGGCAUUGACGGUACUGUAUGAAUAAGCACCGGCUAACUCCGUGCCAGCCGCCGCAGUAAAAU